rnacentral:rRNA from 1 species
ACGGCCGCGGUACCCUAACCGUGCAAAGGUAGCACAAUCACUUGUUCUUUAAAUCAGGACUAGUAUGAACGGCCUCACGAGGGCUAUGCUGUCUCCCCCCUCCAAUCAGUGAAACUGACCCCCCCGUGAAGAGGCGGGGAUAUUUUUAUAAGACGAGAAGACCCCAUGGAACUUUAAACUAGCACCACCACCACACACCACACCAUACUAACAAAAUGACAUGACUGCUAGUCUUUCGGCUGGGGCAGCCACGAGGAAUAAUAAAACCCCCGAGAUGAAAGGAAACCCCUUACCCAAGAACCACUAUUCAAAGAAUCAACAAAUGACAUUAUUGACCCAACAUUGACCAACGAACCAAGCUACCCUGGGGAUAACAGCGCAAUCCAUUUCAAGAGACCUCAUCAACAAAUGGGCUUACGACCUCGAUGUUGGAUCAGGGCAUCCUGGUGGUGCAGCCGCUACCAAAGGUUCGUUUGUUCAACGAUUAAAACCCU